rnacentral:snRNA from 1 species
AUCGCUCUUCGUCUUUCUGAACUUAGAUCACAUGUAGUAUCUGUUCUUUGCAGUGUAAUUUUUGCAACGGUCUCUAAACUGAGAUCAAUGAGGUUACCCGUAUUUUUCACCUCCGGACGGGUGCCUUGAGCUUGCUCAACCCCGUCCACGGGUCGGCCUCGUAUAUCAUUGCACUAACUAAUAGACUCUGAACUAUCAGCU